rnacentral:rRNA from 1 species
AUUGAACGCUGGCGGCAUGCUUUACACAUGCAAGUCGAACGGUAACAGGCCGCAAGGUGCUGACGAGUGGCGAACGGGUGAGCAAUGCAUCGGAACGUGCCCAGUCGUGGGGGAUAACUAUUCGAAAGAGUAGCUAAUAUCGCACACGAGCUAUGGAUGAAAGCGGGGGACCGUAAGGCCUCGCGCGAUUGGAGCGGCCGAUGUCAGAUUAGGUAGUUGGUGGGGUAAAGGCUCACCAAGCCAACGAUCUGUAGCUGGUCUGAGAGGACGACCAGCCACACUGGGACUGAGACACGGCCCAGACUCCUACGGGAGGCAGCAGUGGGGAAUUUUGGACAAUGGGCGCAAGCCUGAUCCAGCAAUGCCGCGUGCAGGAAGAAGGCCUUCGGGUUGUAAACUGCUUUUGUACGGAACGAAACGGCUCUGGUUAAUACCCGGGGCUAAUGACGGUACCGUAAGAAUAAGCACCGGCUAACUACGUG